UAUUUUGCUAACAUGUGCCUAAAUGGAAAUUUUGCGCAAUAGAUGUGACGAUUGUCAAUCCGAGGCGAAGCCGAGGUUGACAACACAUCGUAUGCGCAAAAUUCCAGUUUAGGCACAAGUUAGCAACAAGAUUAUAUGUACUGUAGCAAUUUUACACUUCAUCGAAUGCAUAUUUACGCACGCAAAAUGAACAUAUGCGCACUACAUAAAUAUAAUUUA